UUCACAAACGGGGCCUGUGAAAUGGAGUAAACGCAGCGUAUUUAGUUAUGAAUGACGAGUAAAGAUGGCGGCAAACUUGUCAAAUAUCCUACAUAACCAUUUCUCCAGCUUCGCCUGAGGCGAUAUAGCGUCAUUACCACCCAAUAUACUGAAAAAUAAAGGGACAACAAGCUAUAAAAACAGCUGAUUGGAUACCUGCUUAGAUACAUGCAUCCUGUUCUGCAGUAUAUUCAUCCACAGUGACGGCCCAGAUCCCAGACGUAAGGACGAGAACAAAACUGGAUUCUUGAGGAGUCUUAUUGGAGAAGUGUGAAUGGAAUAUGAUUGCGAAUCAAGAACAUAAGGAGCCUCCGCCGCGAGGAAGUGAGUCCGCACCGUACUAGAUGUGAACGGUAAAGCGGAGUGAAU